rnacentral:rRNA from 1 species
UACGUAGGGUGCAAGCGUUGUCCGGAAUUAUUGGGCGUAAAGAGCUCGUAGGCGGUUUGUCGCGUCGGCUGUGAAAACCCGGGGCUCAACCCCGGGCCUGCAGUCGAUACGGGCAGACUAGAGUGUGGUAGGGGAGACUGGAAUUCCUGGUGUAGCGGUGGAAUGCGCAGAUAUCAGGAGGAACACCGAUGGCGAAGGCAGGUCUCUGGGCCAUUACUGACACUGAGAAGCGAAAGCAUGGGGAGCGAACAGG